CUUCUAUUCCCUCCGUUCUAAAUUACUUGUCGCGGGUAUGGAUGUAUCUAGAUGUAUUUUAGUUCUAGGUACCUACAUUUCUGUGACAAGUAAUUUGGAAUGGAGGGAGUAGUAC
rnacentral:pre_miRNA from 1 species